GAUACUGUUGGAUAAUUGGAGACAAAGUGAAAUGUAUAUAGUUCACUUUUCUGUUUUUGGAAUGCUGAUUAUGCUGUGCUACAAGACCAGUGCAGUACUGCUGGUGAGACUUUUUGUCAACAAAGUGGAAUGUAUAUAGUUCAUGUUUCUGUUUCUGAGUAUGCAGAGGUACAAGACCAGUGCAGUGCAGUCAGUAAGUGUAAACAUUUUAUUUAACUUUCUUUGUUAAUUGCUAUUAGUAUUGCUGUUAUAAUACAAAUGUAUUAGGGUGUGUAUGGGUUGUAUGUCGUCGUCCUCUUUCACUGUAACCAGUCACCACUCUUCCUUAGACUUACCAAUCACCACGUUGCUCUCUUUCACUGUAACCAAUCACCACUCUUCCUCAGACUUACUGUUCAUCUUGUGGCUGUCUUUCACUGUAACCAAUCACCACUCUUCCUCAGACUUACCAAUCAUCUCAUGGCUCUCUUUCACUGUAACCAAUCACCACUCUUCCUCAGACUUACUGUUCAUCUUGUGGCUGUCUUUCACUGUAACCAAUCACCACUCUUCCUCAGACUUACCGAUCAUCUCAUGGCUCUCUUUCACUGUAACCAGUCAUCACUCUUCCUCAGACUUACCAAUCACCACGUGGCUCUCUUUCACUGUAACCAAUCACCACUCUUCCUCAGACUUACUGUUCAUCUUGUGGCUGUCUUUCACUGUAACCAGUCACCACUCUUCCUCAGACUUACCGAUCAUCUCAUGGCUCUCUUUCACUGUAACCAGUCACCACUCUUCCUCAGACUUACUGUUCAUCUUGUGGCUGUCUUUCACUGUAACCAGUCACCACUGGAUUACUGGGAUUCAUGCGUUUUCAGACCUUUAGCAGAGAUCCCCACAACAGCUCAAGAGAAGUGAAGGUCAGCGGGCAUCCAAUCCCAUAACCAAGCCAGUUGCCUCUUUAUAUCCAUAAGCUCUACAUCAGAUGCUGGCCUUAGAGGACAAAGGUCUGUCCUGCAGACGUCCGUUUGAAUGCCCCAGGUUUGCUGUAGCAUUGUGAGGAGCACCAGAGCUUGUGGUAUCUCCAGGAAAGACAGGCAGCUUUGCACAGACCGGACAUGGACACACGCUUCUCUGACAGUACAUCAUGCAGCUGUGCCUCUACCAGGUAUUCACGUCCCUGGAAAGAUUCAUCAGCAUCCUUAACACGAUAGAGGGACCAAAGAUCCAACCCUCAGAGACCAAGAAGCAUUAAAAAAAUGCAACCUCCAUUUGAGAUGUCUUCAUAUUACUCAUCUCAAUCAGUAUUACACAAGAACAAGAAGCCAGAGUGAACACUGGGAUAGAGGCCAUCAUAGUCCCCUGACUGCAGAAACACACAUAGGGGUGACUCGGCUAUACAAUUGAAGACAAACGCUCACCCAACAUAUGAAAGGAUAGUCAUCAUUGAGCCAGAUUUCUGUCCGCUUCACAAAAAGUGAAGACAUGAGGUUAAUUCUGAGGUUGUUUGUUUUUGAGCUUGUCUGUAGUUUAAGCUGAGUAUUGUUUCCAUGCUGCGUGUCUUCUAGCCCGUCAUGGAAAGGAUUUUUAAUGGAUGAUGAUUGAACUCCCUGUUAUCAUCUUCCAGAUUUUCCAAGCAUUCCUGCCCUGGGUUCAAGUACAAAGCCUUUUUUUUGUCAACAUUGGCAUCAAAGAAAGAAUUCACCUUUUUCUCUAUUGCUUCCAGUCCUUUGUUAAUUAAAUCCAAUUGGAAUGGUGCACGCUGUUGAGGUUAAGUUAAUUCAAAUAUGCUGUGAGUUCACUUCAGUGUUCUGAGGUCUAUGUUUCAAAUAACAUUCUUUUGAAAAACAUUCCCUUUAUGAUUAAAGGGGGUUUCUCAUAUUAGGUUGCUUUAUGACAAGUUCAUCUUUUCUAUUUUGGGUUACUGAUACUGAACCCCACUCCUAAUGCCUUUGUGUGCUGUGUAAAACGCUGGGAGUCUGCAUUGCAUGCUGUCUGUUAGUUUUAAUGCAGAUAAGCAAAAACGUUUUCCUUGAGAAAAAUCAAAGCCUUCCUACCAUAUUGAAAGAUUAUGUAGUUAGUACCAUAUUUAGAGCAGGGAUCAAAUACUGGCACACACGUCACAAAUAACUGGCUCAAUUCCUUAAAUAUUUUGGGUUUGGAAAUGGGUGUUCUUUUCCUAAGACUGAAGUCGGCUGUUUCUGUCCUGUAGAUCUGACAUAUUUCAUUUAAGUGGAGUAACACAUGAAGUUAAAACUGUGGGCGUUGUUCACAAUUUUAAGGUCUCAUUAAAGAAUGCUUUAUUCUCCUAUCUCUUAAGAAAACUAGCGGCAGAAUGGGGUCAGGUUAAAUGGGUGCAUUGAUUCUAAUGUAACCUGGCCACAUACAUGAAAGUGUUAGAAGACAGAGAGAGCAGGCUGUAAGAACAGUAUGUAAACUUGUUUGGGGGUGCUAAAGGCACACAGGCCUGUGGCCGCAACGCAUUUGCUUUGACCUGGAAUCAGCUUUUUUAAAUUUUUGUUUCGAAUCGUCUAGCAAAAUGAAUUUUUGUAAAUAAAACACGAAAGCUAGUGUUUGGUCAGUGCUUGACAUUUUUCUGUUUUUCUUCCCCCACAUGUAUAAAUGCUCCUGGAUCAGUAUGCAAAUCAGUGCAGGGAACUCCUGGUAAAAGGACAGCUGUUACAAAGAGAUUAUUUCAUUGUUAAGAUGGGCCUGAACAUAGAUUACUUUUGCUUGUAUUUUGUUUGUUUUGUUUUUAUUUGUUAAUUAUCAACAAAAGUCCACUUAAACUUAAUUUUUCUGUUCCUAUAUAAUACUUUAGCAAGUAUUGUUAAAGAACCAAGCUGCCACAUAUUUAGCCAUGCAUCCUUAAUUUUAGAUUAUAAACAGGAACCUAAAGUAAUAAAUUGAACGAUAUGCAAUCCCUUUUGAAAUGAAUAUAAAGCUUGAGAGGUUUUCAGGCAGGAAAUCUAUAGUAUCAUUAAUACAAGUGCCUAGUACAUUCAUUGGUCAAUCUACAAGCCAAUUACAGGAGAAGUUCCCAUCAACCUAUCAGUUAUAUAAACCUAUUUCGCAAACUCAGUCCUGCCGUGCUUUCAACCACCUCCUCCCCAACCACUACCACCUCAUUCCCAGCCAGGGGCGUCAUUUGCUAUAGGGCAGGUGGAGCAGUUGCCCCACCAACUUUGGUUUGCCCCCCCAGACGAUCUAUAUGACAUUAUGUCUUCCACUUUUUGACCCCCCCCCCCCCUCCCGACACAUAAUAUAAUCACAUAUAACUUGACACAUUUUUUUUCAGUGAUCUUAGAGUAAUGUCACUAGAUGCUUCUGUAAAAUGGUUAUAA